GAUGAAGAACGUAGCGAAAUGCGAUACGUAAUGUGAAUUGCAGAAUUCAGUGAAUCAUCGAGUCUUUGAACGCACAUUGCGCCCCCUGGUAUUCCGGGGGGCAUGCCUGUCCGAGCGUCAUUGCUGCCCUCAAGCACGGCUUGUGUGUUGGGCCCCCGUCCCCCUCUUUUUAGGGGGGGACGGGCCCGAAAGGCAGCGGCGGCACCGCGUCCGGUCCUCGAGCGUAUGGGAAGCAACUCUUUUUGUCACCCGCUCCUGUAGGUCCGGCCGGCGGCCUGCCCAACCCUCAAUCAAUCUUUUUAACCAGGUUGACCUCGGAUCAGGUAGGGAUACCCGCUGAACUUAAGCAUAUCAAUAAGCGGAGGA
rnacentral:misc_RNA from 1 species